UCUAGAUUAGGGACUGCUAUUUGGGUAAGGCAUUCUACGAAGAGGAGGUCAAAAGGCUUUGCUUGGCAUUCGAACAACAGUUCCAUUAUGGCGUGUUCUUUGCAUACAUGAGGUUAAGGGAGCAGGAGAUUAGGAACCUGAUGUGGAUAUCUGAAUGUGUUGAUCCGAUAUGUGCAACUUUAAUUUUUUUCUCUCUCAAAUAAGUGUAAUUAUGAUGAAUUUGUUAUCUGGAAGAAUGAUUCCGUAUGUGUUCUCAGAUUCAUCUGUGUACUUACAGUGAGUUUGAACGUUUUAUAUUAUUUAUUUAUAAAUUGUGAUGUAUAUAGAGGUUGGUGAGAGUUGUCUUUUACU